rnacentral:rRNA from 1 species
GACAGAGGGUGCAAACGUUGUUCGGAAUUACUGGGCGUAAAGCGAGUGUAGGCGGUUGGUAAGUCGGAUGUGGAAAGCCCCGGGCUCAACCCCGGGAAGUGCGACUCGGAUACUGCCAAGCUAGAGUAUCGGAGAGGUUGGUGGAAUUCUCGGUGAUAGCAGUGAAAUGCGUAGAUAUCGUAAGGAAGACCAGUGGCGAAGGCGGCAUCCUGGACCGGUAUUGACGCUGAGGCGACGAAAGCCAGGGGAGCAAACGGG